rnacentral:rRNA from 1 species
GAUGAACGCUGGCGGCGUGCCUAAUACAUGCAAGUCGAGCGAACGGACGAGAAGCUUGCUUCUCUGAUGUUAGCGGCGGACGGGUGAGUAACACGUGGAUAACCUACCUAUAAGACUGGGAUAACUUCGGGAAACCGGAGCUAAUACCGGAUAAUAUUUUGAACCGCAUGGUUCAAAAGUGAAAGACGGUCUUGCUGUCACUUAUAGAUGGAUCCGCGCUGCAUUAGCUAGUUGGUAAGGUAACGGCAUACCAAGGCAACGAUGCAUAGCCGACCUGAGAGGGUGAUCGGCCACACUGGAACUGAGACACGGUCCAGACUCCUACGGGAGGCAGCAGUAGGGAAUCUUCCGCAAUGGGCGAAAGCCUGACGGAGCAACGCCGCGUGAGUGAUGAAGGUCUUCGGAUCGUAAAACUCUGUUAUUAGGGAAGAACAUAUGUGUAAGUAACUGUGCACAUCUUGACGGUACCUAAUCAGAAAGCCACGGCUAACUACGU